UACGGAGGGUGCAAGCGUUAUCCGGAUUCACUGGGUUUAAAGGGUGCGUAGGCGGGCAGGUAAGUCAGUGGUGAAAUACUCCAGCUUAACUGGAGGGGUGCCAUUGAUACUGCGGAGCUUGAGUACAGAUGAGGUAGGCGGAAUUGACGGUGUAGCGGUGAAAUGCAUAGAUAUCGUCAAGAACACCGAUAGCGAAGGCAGCUUACUGGGCUGUAACUGACGCUGAUGCACGAAAGUGUGGGGAUCAAACAGG
rnacentral:rRNA from 1 species